AGGAGUAAUCCGCUAUGAGAUGGACCCGCGUCGCAUUAGCUAGUUGGUGAGGUAACGGCUCACCAAGGCGACGAUGCGUAGCCGACCUGAGAGGGUGAUCGGCCACAUUGGGACUGAGACACGGCCCAGACUCCUACGGGAGGCAGCAGUGGGGAAUAUUGCACAAUGGGGGAAACCCUGAUGCAGCAACGCCGCGUGAGUGAUGACGGUCUUCGGAUUGUAAAGCUCUGUCUUUAGGGACGAUAAUGACGGUACCUAAGGAGGAAGCCACGGCUAACUAC
rnacentral:rRNA from 1 species